rnacentral:rRNA from 1 species
GACAGCAGCCGCCGCGGGAAUACGUAGGUGGCAAGCGUUGUCCGGAAUUAUUGGGCGUAAAGGGCUCGCAGGCGGUUUCUUAAGUCUGAUGUGAAAGCCCCCGGCUCAACCGGGGAGGGUCAUUGGAAACUGGGAAACUUGAGUGCAGAAGAGGAGAGUGGAAUUCCACGUGUAGCGGUGAAAUGCGUAGAGAUGUGGAGGAACACCAGUGGCGAAGGCGACUCUCUGGUCUGUAACUGACGCUGAGGAGCGAAAGCGUGGGGAGCGAACAGGAUUAGAUACCCCUGUAGUCCCUGUCUCUUAUAC